rnacentral:rRNA from 1 species
ACUCAAAUGAAUAGACGGGGGCCCGCACAAGCGGUGGAGCAUGUGGUUUAAUUCGACGCAACGCGAAGAACCUUACCCAGACUUGACAUUGAUAGAACCUGUCGGAAACGACGGGGUGCCCUUCGGGGCCUAGAAAACAGGUGCUGCAUGGCUGUCGUCAGCUCGUGUCGUGAGAUGUUGGGUUAAGUCCCGCAACGAGCGCAACCCUUGUCGUUAGUUGCUACCAGGUAAUGCUGGGCACUCUAGCGAGACUGCCGGUGUCAAACCGGAGGAAGGUGGGGAUGACGUCAAGUCCUCAUGGCCUUUAUGUCUGGGGCUACACACGUGCUACAAUGGCAGGUACAAACCGAUGCGAACCCGCAAGGGGGUGCAAACCGGAAAAAACCUGUCUCAGUUCGGAUCGAAGUCUGCAACUCGACUUCGUGAAGUCGGAAUCGCUAGUAAUCGUGGAUCAGCAUGCCACGGUGAAUACGUUCCCGGGCCUUGUACACACCGCCCGU